rnacentral:lncRNA from 1 species
UCUUCAAGCUUUGGGACCUGCUGACGGGGAGGAGUUAAUAAGAUGUUACUUCAUCCCAUGUUCGGAGAAAUCAUCUCCCUUUGGCAGUGUGGGAUUAGUGGGAAGAAGUCUGAGGCUUACUGGAAGAGAGCUCAAAGACACCGACUGGGCUGGAGCACUCUCAGAAGAUGUCAGACACAGACCUCGAGGUGUUUGCCAAAACAAAUGACUCGGGAGCACGCCACAGAAAAGCCUCCAAAAAGGAGCCUGGCGCAGGGAAUCCUCUGGCAGCGCCCACGAGGCAUUAUCCUCGUAUGGCAUCCUGGUGGAGUCAGCUUGGAGCAGUCUCUGAGGAACCGGGAAAACAUUUCCUAGGCACCUCAAGGAGAAGAUACGUCUUUUCUGACAGGUCUGGG